GAGGCACGCGGAGGGGAAGAUCCUGGACUCGGAGCUUUGCCCCGUUAUAUUACAGAUGGGGAAACUGAGGCACAAAGCGGGGAAGAUCAUGGACUUGGAGCUUUGCCCCGUUAUAUUACAGAUGGGGAAACUGAGGCACGUGGAGGGAAAGGCUUGGAGCUGGAAAAGAGGCCUCAGAGUCCUGCCCUGUCAUAAAUGGAGAAAUGGAGGCACAGGAGUUAGUCUAGACUGAGGAGUCCUAGAGACCAAUGAGUCUCAGAUAAGGAAUCUGAAGCGCAGAGAUGAAUGGUUUUAAAGAUCUUGGAAUCAAGUUGCAGGGAGCCUCAAAAGCUAUGGAUGUCCCCCUCUUCCUUCUCCCCCUUCCCCCCCUUUCAUUACAGAUGAGGACACUGGGGGCCCUAGGAAUGGAACCUGUCUAGUCCAGCCCCUGCACACACGUUUUCCAUGGCUAUAAAUCAGGAAGUUGAAGGAGAUGGGCUUUUGAGAUCACUUCCAGCUGAAAAUCUACAAUUCUCUGAAGACAGGAUAGUUGUAUUCAAGUACUUGAAGAUCUGCCACAUUGGCGCUUUGUUUUUAUGCCCAGAGAACAGAAGGUGCAAGGGAAAAUAAACUAAAGUUCCACCCCUACUUUUAAGAAAUUUAAAGUCUGAAGAUGGAAUGUGGUCAUCCUUUGAAAUUUGAAGGAGACUUCAAGACACUGUCAUUUGAUCUACUAAUGUACCCUGAGGAUCACUGGGACAUUUCUGGACAUACUACAGCUGAAUUUUUGAAUGCCUUGCCUCUUAAAAGGUGUGAACUUCUUGAACACAGAGACAGUCUCUGUCUCCCCAGCACAUAAUAUAAUACUUGGGUUUAUAAUAAGC
rnacentral:lncRNA from 1 species